AGCCGAGCAGUGAAGACAAAGCGAGCUAUUCUUUCGCCUUUUACUAAAGAAUACCGUGUCUUCUCUGCAUUUAAUCGGCAUACGCCUAUUUUUGGAAAGGUUUAUUACCAAAAUUAU
rnacentral:snRNA from 3 species